AUUGAACGCUGGCGGCAGGCCUAACACAUGCAAGUCGAACGGUAGCACAGAGAGCUUGCUCUCGGGUGGCGAGUGGCGGACGGGUGAGUAACGUCUGGGAAACUGCCCGAUGGAGGGGGAUAACUACUGGAAACGGUAGCUAAUACCGCAUAACGUCGCAAGACCAAAGUGGGGGACCUUCGGGCCUCACACCAUCGGAUGUGCCCAGAUGGGAUUAGCUAGUAGGUGGGGUAAUGGCUCACCUAGGCGACGAUCCCUAGCUGGUCUGAGAGGAUGACAAGCCACACGGGGACGGAGACCCGGUCCAGACUCCUACGGGAGGCAGCAGUGGGGAAUAUUGCACAAUGGGCGCAAGCCUGAUGCAGCCAUGCCGCGUGUAUGAAGAAGGCCUUCGGGUUGUAAAGUACUUUCAGCGGGGAGGAAGGCGGUGAAGUUAAUAGCUUCACCGAUUGACGUUACCCGCAGAAGAAGCACCGGCUAACUCCGUGCCAGCCGCCGCAGUAA
rnacentral:rRNA from 1 species